rnacentral:sRNA from 1 species
ACAUGCACACUGUCAGGGCUAGCCUUCCUGCUUACGCGCGCUGCGGAUUGUUGCUCCGUUGUACCUGCUGGGGAAUUCACCUCGUUACUGCUUGAUAUCUUCCACCCCUUACAAAAUCAGUAAAGUCAUUUGCGAGGAGUCCUUUGGUUUCCAGUUACCUCCCCCACAGGCGCACACGCUGGCUGCUUGCGUUGGCAGCGACACACAUCCAUGUUGUGUUUUCUAAUACCAAAGAGGAGGUUUGGCUUUCUGUGGGUGAUUCCCAGACACUGAAGUGCAAAGAAGAGACCCUCCUAGAAAAGUAAAAUAUGACUAAAAGCAAUGGAGAAGAGCCCAAGAUGGGCGGCAGGAUGGAGAGAUUCCAGCAGGGAGUCCGUAAACGCACACUUUUGGCCAAGAAGAAAGUGCAGAACAUUACAAAGGAGGAUGUUAAAAGUUACCUGUUUCGGAAUGCUUUUGUGCUGCUCACUGUCACCGCUGUCAUUGUGGGUGAGUCAUUUGAUUAAAAACAAAAAAACCUGUAUCUUGUUUCUCUGGGGCAUCUGGCUGCCCAGGGAAUAUUAUCAGAUGAACUAGUUGUAGG